AUUGAACGCUGGCGGCAGGCCUAACACAUGCAAGUCGAGCGGAUGAAGGGAGCUUGCUCCUGGAUUCAGCGGCGGACGGGUGAGUAAUGCCUAGGAAUCUGCCUGGUAGUGGGGGAUAACGUCCGGAAACGGGCGCUAAUACCGCAUACGUCCUGAGGGAGAAAGUGAGGGAUCUUCGGACCUCACGCUAUCAGAUGAGCCUAGGUCGGAUUAGCUAGUUGGUGGGGUAAAGGCCUACCAAGGCGACGAUCCGUAACUGGUCUGAGAGGAUGAUCAGUCACACUGGGACUGAGACACGUUCCAGACUCCUACGGGAGGCAGCAGUGGGGAAUCUUGGACAAUGGGCGAAAACCUGAUCGAGCAAUGCCGCGUGUGUGAAGAAGGUCUUCGGAUUGUAAAGCACUUUAAGUUGGGAGGAAGGGCAGUAAGUUAAUACCUUGCUGUAUUGACGUUACCAAAAGAGUAAGCACCGGCUAACUUCGUG
rnacentral:rRNA from 1 species